rnacentral:rRNA from 1 species
CGCAUCUGUGCAUGCAGCAUAUCAAUAAGCGGAGGAAAAGAAACUAACAAGGAUUCCCCUAAUAACGGCGAGUGAAGCGGGAAGAGCUCAAAUUUGAAAUCUUAAAGGGUUUCCCUUUACGAAUUGUAGUUUAAAGAAGUGUUCUCUGUUGAGGUUUUGGUAAAAGUUCUUUGGAAUAGGACAUCAUAGAGGGUGAGAAUCCCGUAUUUGACCUUUACUUUCAACUUUGUGAUACACUUUCAAAGAGUCGGAUUGUUUGGGAAUGCAGUCCAAAAUGGGUGGUAAAUUUCAUCUAAAGCUAAAUAUUGGCGAGAGACCGAUAGCGAACAAGUACCGUGAGGGAAAGAUGAAAGGAACUUUGAAAAGAGAGUUAAACAGUACGUGAAAUUGUCAAAAGGGAAGCGUUUGACACCAGUGUUGUUUUUCUGAAAAUCAAUUAAAGAACUGUUUAUGCUAAGCUGUUUAGACUUUAUCAGCUAUCUGUUUAGUUUUGAGCUUUUCUUUAAUGCACUUUUCAGUUAACAAGUCAACAUCAAUUUCUUUUGCUGUAAAAAAGCUUGAGGAAGGUGGCUUGAGAUUCGUCUUAAGUGUUUAUAGCCUCUUGCCUAUGCAGUCGGAGAGAUUGAGGUCUGCAGCGUAGAUCCUUCGGGGCUAAAUGCAUUUGUGCUAAGUUAUAGCAUUUUAUAGACAACUUGUUGACUAUGAUUUGUCUUGUAGCUUACUCGCUUAUGUUAUUUUACCUACGCUUAGGAUGUUGAGUCGUAGAGCACGCAG